GUUUGACAUAUACCGGAAAGCUGCAGAGAUGUAGCCCCCGCAAGGUCGGUAUACAGGUGGUGCAUGGCUGUCGUCAGCUCGUGUCGUGAGAUGUUGGGUUAAGUCCCGCAACGAGCGCAACCCUCGUCCUAUGUUGCCAGCGAGUCAUGUCGGGGACUCAUAGGAGACUGCCGGGGUCAACUCGGAGGAAGGUGGGGAUGACGUCAAGUCAUCAUGCCCCUUAUAUCCAGGGCUGCACACAUGCUACAAUGGCCGGUACAAAGGGCUGCGAUACCGCAAGGUGGAGCGAAUCCCAUAAAGCCGGUCUCAGUUCGGAUUGGGGUCUGCAACUCGACCCCAUGAAGUCGGAGUCGCUAGUAAUCGCAGAUCAGCAACGCUGCGGUGAAUACGUUCCCGGGCCUUGUACACACCGAAGGGCG
rnacentral:rRNA from 1 species